UAAUACGGAGGGGGCUAGCGUUGUUCGGAAUUACUGGGCGUAAAGCGCACGUAGGCGGAUCAGAAAGUCAGAGGUGAAAUCCCAGGGCUCAACCUUGGAACUGCCUUUGAAACUCCUGAUCUUGAGGUCGAGAGAGGUGAGUGGAAUUCCGAGUGUAGAGGUGAAAUUCGUAGAUAUUCGGAGGAACACCAGUGGCGAAGGCGGCUCACUGGCUCGAUACUGACGCUGAGGUGCGAAAGCGUGGGGAGCAAACAGGA
rnacentral:rRNA from 1 species